rnacentral:rRNA from 1 species
CAGCGCCACAAGUGGCAAUCGUUAUUAUUGGGCCUAAAGCGUCCGUAGCCGGUUUAGUAAGUCUUUUGUGAAAUUGUUGUGCUUAACACAACACUGUGCAAAAGAUACUGCUAGACUUGGAACUGGGAGGAGUUAGGGGUAUUCCAAGGGGAGCGGUAAAAUGCUAUAAUCCUUGGAGGACCACCGGUGGCGAAAGCGCCUAACUAGAACAGAUUCGACGGUGAGGGACGAAAGCCAGGGGAGCAAUCCGGAUUAGAUACCCGAGUAGUCC